UCCCCGAUUUCCGGGGCAGUCUCCCUAGAGUUCCCGACUUGACUCGCUGGCAACUAGGGAUAGGGGUUGCGUUCGUUGCGGGACUUAACCCAACAUCUCACGACGCGAGCUGACGACAGCCAUGCAGCACCUCUGUGGCGGCUCCCGAAGGAGAAGCAGACUUUCAUCCACGGUCCACCACAGUUCAAGCCCAGGUAAGGUUCUUCGCGUUGCAUCGAAUUAAACCACAUGCUCCACCGCUUGUGCGGGCCCCCGUCAAUUCCUUUGAGUUUCAGCCUUGCGACUGUACUCCCCAGGCGGCAUAUUUAACGCGUUAGCUCCGGCACGGACAGAAUGAACUGCCCACACCAAAUAUGCAUCGUUUAGGGCGUGGACUAC
rnacentral:misc_RNA from 1 species